GAGGGUAUAGCUUAGUGGUAGAGUACAGGUUUAGCACGCAUGAGGAUCUGGGAUCAAUCCCCAGUACCUCCA
rnacentral:tRNA from 1 species